ACGGGGUGCAGCAGGCGCGAAACCUCCACAAUGCACGAAAGUGCGAUGGGGUUAUCCCGAGUGCUUUCCGAUGAGGAUGGCUUUUCCCUCGGUGUAAAAAGGCGAGGGAAUAAAGGGGGGGCAAGACUGGUGUCAGCCGCCGCGGUAAUACCAGCUCCCUGAGUGGUAGGGAUGAUUAUUUGGCCUAAAACGUUCGUAGCCGGCUUGGCAAGUCUUCCGUUAAAUCCAGCGACUCAAUCGUUGGUCUGCGGAAGAUACUACUAGGCUAGAGGACGGGAGAGGUUGACGGUAUUCCCAGUGUAGGGGUGAAAUCCAAUAAUCCUGGGAGGACCACCAGUGGCGAAGGCGGUCAACGAGAACGUGCCUGACGGUGAUGGACGAAAGCUGGGGGAGCGAACCGGAUUAGACACCCGGGUAGUCCCAGCCGUAAACGAUGCGGGCUAGGUGUUAGGGCAGCUACGAGCUGCUCUAGUGCCGCAGAGAAGUC
rnacentral:rRNA from 1 species